UUAUUAAUUAAGUGUACAUUUUCGAUGGAUAAGUACAGCUUAUAAUUCCUGGAAGAUAUCCUGACACAAAACCCAAAAGAAAUAUACCUACAGAAACAACACCCAAAUGCCUUGUCAAUCGGCUUGAGGAGAAAAUAAAAUACAUAAUAGACAUCGACCUGCUCCUGAGCCAUUCCAUACCGUAAAAUAACGUCAAUUUUCAAUUCUACUGUCACUAAACUCAAAAUGAUGGAGAUGACCAUAGUUGGGAUUUUACAACUCAAUUGACCAUUUUAUAAUUCUUCUUUGUCAAACAGCAUAUUUUUAUCUUUUUUUAAAUAUGAGAUGUUAAAUCAGUGUAUAAAGAAUUAUUUGUUACUUCUUUGGAUGUUCUACAUAGGCAUACUAACUUCUAGGCACUAAAAAUUUAUUAUUAAUGGUUAUUUAGUUUGUCCUUCGUUGUGUGUUUGAUGAUAGUUUCUCAAAAUGAGCAAUUUUGUUCAGGUUCAUGAUCUUGAGUAAGUAAAUUUUAUUCUCUAAAUAAUUGUAUAUUUAUUAACAAUAAGAUCAUCUUUUUACAUCUCAACUUUUACUUUAUUUUUUUUAUUUCGUUUGGAAUUGAAGUGAGGAUGAUGCUGGUAUUGUUCGAAGAUAUUUUCACCUUCUUCCGGAAACGACUUUUGAAGAUGAUGAUGAACUGAGUAAAUUACUUCAUAUUAUAACUUCUAAUGAUUUUAUUAAGGAGAUGUCUUGGGAGAAAGAAGUUACGGUAUCUCUCAAAAAUAGUAAGAAUGUUCUGCAUAUACCAUAAAAGAUUUCUAGAGGUGUUGCAUUGGACAAGAAGAAGACUGUUCAGUUGGUUGACUUUGACAACAAUGAUAAGAUUUUUCUUUGUCCUCUUAUCAAGAAGUCAUCUUCAUCUUCAAAGAUUAGUUUGUAUAAAGGCUGGAUUGAUUAUCUUGAUGAAGCAAAGAAAAAUAUGACCUUAAAAGACAAACUUCGUUUUCAAUUCCACUAAGCACAUUACAGUUUUUCUGUUGAAAUUAUAAAAACCAAUCCCUAAUGAUCUAAGAUUCGAUGUUUGUGCUGGAGUAUUUAUGAUAAUGUUGUGAUGUAUUCAAAAGAGUAUGAAUUGUUCCUUUAUUCUC